GGACCUGGUCAAGCUCCUGGAGGAAAACCUUAACAAUAGUGUAAGUCCCUCUAUGACUGGAUCCUCCUGGGGUUUUUAACCCUCAGACUUGUUCUCGCUUGGCCUCCGGCAAUUCAUCAAUUACAGAUCAGGUUUUCCUGCCUUCGGGUGGUCUCCAUUCCCAAGUCUGCUCUGAUCCAAGAAGAAUCGUUGAUUUUGCAGUCUGUUCAUCUUUUUGCUUGUUAGGACAGAGUGUCUGGUACAGGAUCUACAGCCCUGGGAUGAGAGAACUGUGUUCUCAUGGAGAACGGAAGAGAUAGAGAGCCCGUGCCUCCAAGGAUAAUAGAAGUGCCUCCUGGCUUUGCGGUAUCUCCAGUCAAUGAAACCACAAGAACCUUGGCAGGAACAAGAGACGAAGAAACUCGCAUUGCAGAGGGAGACAGUCACUCAAGGGAGACAAGCCACUGUGGGCUGGAAGAAAAGAAGCUGAAGUCAGAGGUCUUUGGGCACUACCAAGGACACCAAUGUCCUUUUCGCCCCGCGGUCACAUCUGUGUGAAGAGGAAGGAGAGCAAGAAGCCCAGGGACUGAAGUCAUCUGACCAUAGAAAUAUAUGAAGAGAGACAAAAUUCACAUAUUCUGUUGAUAAAGUUUCUCUCUCGGUUUUCUUUGAGACCCGAUGAACAUCUUCCUGCAUCUUCUGGGACCUAUCAUGGCUCUUAUCUACAACACCUUGGGCUUCCCAAGCUUCAGGCUUAGAGAUGCAACCACAGACAGCUGACUUACAGCGCCCCUCCCUCGAGAAAUUCCCUGGCUGUAAAAGCUCCUAUUGCCUGAAUGGAGUGAGGAUGGUUUCCCUUGGAAGUCAAGGAUCAGUUCGAUAUAAUGCAGUAUCUGAUCUCCAAGCAACAGGACAAGGAAAGGGGCAUCUUCUGUGUCUUCAGCAAUUACGAUAGUCCAGGUUAUGCUGCUGUAACAAACAACCUUCAAAUAUGAGUGACUUUAAACUAAAAGGGUUGAUUUCUUGUUCAUGCUACUUGUCCCUUGUAGGUUGGCAGGGAAACCCUGACAUUAUAGUUAUUUAAAGGCUCAGGCUGAUGGAGAAACGACCGCAUUGAAUACUGGCGGUCCCCAAUCCCAAGAGGAAAGAGAGCUCCAGAAAGCCUUGCAUCAGUAAUUCAACACUCUCGCCAGGAAGAGACCCAUUUCACUUCCAUUCAUUGGCUAGGACUAGUCACAUGGCUCUGCCCAGCCACAAGGAG